rnacentral:rRNA from 1 species
UACGUAGGGGGCUAGCGUUGUCCGGAAUCAUUGGGCGUAAAGCGCGUGUAGGCGGUUCGGUAAGUCCGCUGUGAAAGUCGGGGGCUCAACCCUCGGAUGCCGGUGGAUACUGUCGGGCUUGAGUACGGAAGAGGCGAGUGGAAAUUCCUGGUGUAGCGGUGAAAUGCGCAGAGUAUCAGGAGGAACACCAAUUGCGAAGGCAGC